rnacentral:rRNA from 1 species
AACGAACGCUGGCGGCAGGCUUAACACAUGCAAGUCGAGCGCCCCGCAAGGGGAGCGGCAGACGGGUGAGUAACGCGUGGGAAUCUACCCAUCUCUACGGAAUAACGCAUGGAAACGUGUGCUAAUACCGUAUACGUCCUUCGGGAGAAAGAUUUAUCGGAGAUGGAUGAGCCCGCGGUGGAUUAGCUAGUUGGUGGGGUAAAGGCCUACCAAGGCGACGGUCCAUAGCUGGUCUGAGAGGGUGAUCAGCCACACUGGGACUGAGACACGGCCCAGACUCCUACGGGAGGCAGCAGUGGGGAAUAUUGGACAAGGGGCGCAAGCCUGAUCCAGCCAUGCCGCGUGAGUGAUGAAGGCCUUAGGGUUGUAAAGCUCUUUCAGUAGGGACGAUAAUGACGGUACCUACAGAAGAAGCCCCGGCUAACUUCGUGCCAGCAGCCGCCGUAAAAC